GACGAACGCUGGCGGCGUGCUUAACACAUGCAAGUCGAGCGGAGCGGCGAACGGGUGCGUAACGCGUGAGUAACUGCCCCCCUCUCUGGGAUAACAGUUGGAAACGGCUGCUAAUACCGGAUAGCGGGGGAUGACUCCCGGCCGAUUAGCUGGUUGGUGGGGUAGUGGCCUACGAAGGCGACGACGGGUAGCCGGCCUGAGAGGGCGGCCGGCCACAUUGGGCUGAGAUACGACCCAAACGCCUACGGGAGGCAGCAGUGGGGAAUAUUGCACAAUGGGGGAAACCCUGAUGCAGCAACGCGCGUGGGGGAUGACGGCCUUCGGGUUGUAAACCGCUUUCGGCCAUGACGCGGUAGUGGCAGAAGAAGCACCGGCUAACUACGUGCCAGCCGCCGCGGUAAUUC
rnacentral:rRNA from 1 species